rnacentral:tRNA from 2 species
GCCAGAGUGGCGAAAUUGGUAGACGCAGCGGAUUCAAAAUCCGCCGGUGGUGACACUGUGCCGGUUCAAGUCCGGCCUCUGGUACCA